rnacentral:lncRNA from 1 species
CACGAGGUGGGUGAAUAAAGAUGCCAAAGGCUGGUGGCCCAGCCCUGGAUGGAACAGUCACCAUUUAGAGACUGAAUCCUGGGGUCCAGUAAGAAGACUUCACUAGAGUGGCACACAGCACGCAUGGUUUCAGUAGUAGAGCUUGCUGUUUUAUACAAUGAAUUAGGAGUCUUUCAUCUGGAA